rnacentral:rRNA from 1 species
UACGUAUGGUGCAAGCGUUAUCCGGAUUUACUGGGUGUAAAGGGAGCGCAGGCGGUUCUGCAAGUCUGAUGUGAAGGCCCGGGGCUCAACCGCGGGACUGCAUUGGAAACUGCGGGACUGGAGUGUCGGAGGGGUAAGCGGAAUUCCUGGUGUAGCGGUGAAAUGCGUAGAUAUCAGGAGGAACACCGGUGGCGAAGGCGGCUUACUGGACGAUGACUGACGCUGAGGCUCGAAAGCGUGGGGAGCAAACAGG